UCGAACGAAGCGAAAGGAUUAGUAUGUGAGAACCUUUCAUAAAAGAGAGUGAAGUUUAUAAGCUGAAAGACUUCAUAAUGAAAGAACACAGAACCUGCCUUUCAAGUCCUGCUGCAGUAGGCGCAUUUCUUGCGUUAUCAGACAAAGUGGAAUCAAUUUGUAUAUUGGUUCAAUUAAGGUGGUACCACGGAAAGCUCAUUUUCGUCCUUUUA
rnacentral:ncRNA from 1 species